UAGGGAAUCUUCCACAAUGGACGCAAGUCUGAUGGAGCAACGCCGCGUGAGUGAAGAAGGUCUUCGGAUCGUAAAGCUCUGUUGUUGGUGAAGAAGGAUAGAGGCAGUAACUGGUCUUUAUUUGACGGUAAUCAACCAGAAAGUCACGGCUAACUACGUGCCAGCAGCCGCGGUAAUACGUAGGUGGCAAGCGUUGUCCGGAUUUAUUGGGCGUAAAGCGAGCGCAGGCGGAAUGAUAAGUCUGAUGUGAAAGCCCACGGCUCAACCGUGGAACUGCAUCGGAAACUGUCAUUCUUGAGUGCAGAAGAGGAGAGUGGAACUCCAUGUGUAGCGGUGGAAUGCGUAGAUAUAUGGAAGAACACCAGUGGCGAAGGCGGCUCUCUGGUCUGCAACUGACGCUGAGGCUCGAAAGCAUGGGUAGCGAACAGGAUUAGAUACCCUGGUAGUCCAUGCCGUAAACGAUGAGCGCUAGGUGUUGGGGACUUUCCGGUCCUCAGUGCCGCAGCAAACGCAUUAAGCG
rnacentral:rRNA from 1 species